CAGAUGAAGAUGCUGGGGACCCAAGUGGUUGAGUCACACAGCUAGUAAGUGAAGAGGCAGCAGUCAAACCCAGGAAAGGAAACUGAUGCCGCUUCCAGGACCAACCAAGACUGGACUCUCUGUCACCAGUAUAGACCCAAAUCACACUGUCUCCUUCAACGUUGGACCUGGCAUUCAGCCAUGCAUGGAUGGUUCAAAACUGAGAUCCAAAGCUCAAAGGAAACCUUUCUGAUGUCAUAACUGUUUGGCAGCUACCUGAAUAGCUCUGAGGGCAUUAAGCCAAGCAAGUAGAGGUGAAGCUAUCUCCUGGCCUGCCCCCAGCCCACCAUUGCCCGUGCCUUUCUUACCUGCUGCCCAUCAACUCUAAAAAAGGCUUGAGCAAGAAGGACAUGCUGGGUUAACUAUGAUCCAGCGACUUGUCUUUGUGUCUUACAUGUCUUUGCCUUUGGUUUAUUGAUUAAUGUCUGAUAUUAACAGAACAGGAGAUACCUCUGUGCUCCUGGAAAUUGAGUCUGUGUCUACUGAGAAUAAUAUAGUGAAUGAAAAUCAGUCAUCUGGGGAGCCACAGGACAAGUGGAAAGCACAAGAAAAGCACUUGGCUUCUCAGAAAUUGGGAACCAGGGGAUAGAAAGCCACUGCACCAUCAGGCAGGGGUAUGAAGGCACCUAGACUGCAAUGCAACGAGACUCAAGAGGCAGACAGCUGGUUCAGUGAGCCAGAGAGUGGAGGAGGACAUUAGGUUUUCCCAAGAAAGAAACCGAGGAUACUGGAAGGUAUAUGCUGACUUCCGAAGGGCAGGGUGAGACAGGACUCUUGGCCAGGGAAAUUUUCACUUUGGUUAUUGUCAACAAGUAAUGUUAAUUGGGACAACAGAUACCUCUGUACCCCAGAGUCAGAGAGCUAUGCCACAGCCCAUGGCUUAUCCCUAUGGGCCUAGAAGAAAAAAAAAUGAUGUCAGGGAAGAGAACCCUGUGAGAGAAAAGAAGAAUUGUAUUUAAUGGCAUUGAAAGAAAAAAAUUAGACCUUUUUUUCCUGGGUCUAAGCUCUUCUAAGAUGUUCACAAGAGUAGAGGUCUCUCUGCUUGCACAACUCCCAUUCUCACAGGUACGAGUUUUUUCUACAGAGACUGGUGACCCACGCUGAUAUGCAGCCCUGUCCCACUUUUCCAGCCCUCUCUGCAGCAAAUCUCAGGUUCCACCAACACUUACUCUGCACCUGUAUCCAGGAUCUUGGGCUGUCAGAUAUGAUGCUGUAAGUCAUUGUUGCUGCCUUACACCAGUAGAACCCUGAAUCUUUACUCCACAUGGCAGUAAUCUGGAACUUCGGGGAGAGACUCCAGCCUAAUCCCAGGGUCUGGUCAUCUCUGAAGAAGCGGAAACGGAGCGGGACAUCUGACCUCUCUAGAGAGAGCCGGGUCUCACAGGUCAGGGUCACUGGGCUCCCGCUGAUGGGCUGGAAGGAGCUGGCUCUCAGCACUGGACGUGUAAAUGGCUCUAGAGAGAAGAAUCACAACAGUCCCAGAGCAAUGAGGCUGGAACUGCUUUGGAGAAAAACACACUUCAAGCAGCAGCACAUCCAAAACAGGCAAAGAAAGGAAUGCCAUUGAUCCCUAGCUUCCUUCGGCCCAAAGCACUACUAUACUUCCUCUGCUCCUUGCAGGAAUGUGUCCUGUGGUUUAGUGGUAUUCCAGUCCACCCUUUUCCUCCUGUUCUAUCUCUAUGACCCCAAGGAAUCUCCUUUUGACCAACUCACUUCACAAAAUAAUGAACGCUUUACCUUGGACUUGGAUUUUGACUCUAUUGGAAGAAACUGGGCAACAACUUUCCUUGUAUCCAGUACAGUGAUAUGCACCAUUGUCCUUGAGACGUGCAUGAGGAAUACGGAAGUCAGUUCUUUUAUUAAGGAAUGCCAGGACAUUAUCAUUCUUGUAAAUAGUAUUAUUCAGUGUUACUUCCACCUUUGCCCGGCACCUCAGAACCACAGAGUCUCCUUCAAACACAGAAAGUGGAGCUUGCAGGAUCAGCGAAGCU